GUGAUAGCUGGGAUCAGCCUCCCGAGGUUUCUUACAACCAAUUCUCUGCAGCCCAAAACUGGACGAUCCACUGGAAGACAAAACAACAAAUAAAAGAAGGACCAGAGAUAAAUCAGAGAAGCAUGCUACAGCAAGACCAAACAAGAGCAUUUCUGGUGGUCUCCCUCUGUCUUGCAGUGACCUCCUACACUUUGGGAGGGCUGGCAGAUUUACGAAGGCAAGACAGGAGACGCUCUUCUUUCUUUCCUUUAAUGUCCAAAGACUAAACUGGUUUUUGGUGAUUGUUUUUUGCCUUUUUUUGGCAGGCUAGCAACUUUGAUUAAAUGCAAAAUAAGAAUAGAAGUUACACAUCCCGUUGGGAUGGGUUUGUGAAGAAAUUAGUGAUGUUUUAAUUGAGUUUUUAUUUUCUUGUCACCAAUUUUUUGUGUUUCUAUUUCACUUGUGAAUUAUAAACAAUUUUAAAUAUAAUGGACAGUUUGGCUUGUAACAACUGUGCUGUUUGCUGUUUAAUAAUCUGGAUUUCUUUUUUACUUUGACAGAGUUUUGUUUAAUGCUGUCAACAAAACAAGCAUAAAAAUGUCUUUUUACAGUGGCAUCCUUAUGCCACUGCAAAUUUUGAGCUCAGCUGUGGGCUAAAGCAUCAAGUCAUCCUCUCCCUUCACUGUUUGUGGUUGCAAACUGUGUUAAAAUAAUUCAUGGAAAUGGAAAGGGUCUGGCUGCAGGGCUGUGAGGUGGUGGGGUGGCAAACCCUGUCGCCUCACAGCAGGAAAGAAUCCCAAAUCCCUGCUUUGUCCUUUCCAUGUGAAGUUCUGGAAACUCUGGCAUGGGAGCCCAAAAAAAUGUUUUAUAAGUUCAUAAGUGACUCUAAUUAAAACUCUUAAAAAUAA